CGUCCACUAGGAGCGGCCUGAAAGAGGCCCGCACGCGGGCUCGAGCCGCGUGGAAUGGACCUAGAGCUGCAUUCCAUGUAUUCCUUGGCUUUUCGUCCUUUCCUCCAUCAUCAAGUAACUGGAUCUGUGAGCAUGAUGAACUUUGUUUUCCUGAGCUUGUCCUGUGUCUCCUCUUCUGGCCACACCUGACUGAGCAGAACAUAAAAGCGACAGAACACCAGGAGGGCUGCUGCUUGGGGAAAUUGUGUGAGAAGAGUCCUGGGGGACUAGGGGCA
rnacentral:lncRNA from 10 species